CACAGUCCUGUUCUGCCCCUUUCUGGCCUCACCUGACCUUGUUGACUGACCUUGCUAUUCUGGUCUCAUGUCCUGACCCCUGGCUUUCCCUCACCAACGUUGAUCUUGGAGCUGUGGGGCACAGGUAGUCUGCUGACUUCCCUUUCACCCUCCCGGACCUGAGAGAUCAUUCUGCCCAUUGCAUCUGUGGGUUCUUUGUUCAUAAUAAGGGUGCCCUAGGCUAUCCAGCUUCCUCCUGGUAUCAUUUCUUAUGUCCAGGGGAUUUAGUGACACCUUCAUGAGCCACAAUCCAUGGUUGUAGGUCAUGAUUGUAUCUGGUGCUGUGGUGAAACCCAGGCCCUUGCACGUGCCAGGUAGUGCUUACUGGCAAGCUAUUCCUCCCAGCCUUGUAAAAAGAAUCUGUUUAUUGGAUGAGAAAAACCUGAUACCCAUAGUAGCCAGGUGACUUGUGAAAGCCCCAUAGCCAUGUGUCCCAUUAGAGUUAAACCAUUGGUUGCUUGCUGUGGAGCUCCCUCCAACACCAUUCUUCCACAUAGCCUGCUGAGCGAGCAUCCUGCGUAGAGCUCUGGCCAGACUAGUGUGUCUGGAAUGCAGGGCCUAGGGACAUUCAUUUGUCCCCUUGUGCCUGUGCUGUUUUCAAGGCUCUUUUUGGAAGGCUGGUGACUGUGCCAUUGCCUUGAUGGACAGAGAACAUGGUAGGGGCAGAUUUGUCCUCUGCUGGAGCUCCAGAGUCCCUGGCUGCUUUGUUGACCUGCAGUGCCUGUUGUUUUUGUUGUUGUUGUUGUUUUGUUUUGUUUUGUUUGUUUUUUUCUGACUCCUGAAGCCUUGUCAAACAAGAUCACAUGCUUUCUCCCUCAGCCCCAGUUCCCAUGCCUGUCUUUGAGCCUGGGUCAGCUGCUCUGAAGAGCCAAGUAACUGUCUUUACAUGAGGUGGCUCUGGAGGCUGAGCUUCACUUUGGCCUCCUCAGCUUGGCUUCACUGGAGCAGCCAGUGUCCCUCUAGAAAGUUGGUCUAUGCAGUGGAUCUAGGUGGGCAGCCUAUCAUCCAGCAUUAGGGAGCAGAGAGAAGUAUUUCUGUAAAUUGAGGACUAGCCUGGGUUACAUGGUUCCAGGUGAGGCAGAACUACAGAGUCAAACCUGACUAAACAAAACAGUAGAGAGACACAGAGAGAGAGACAGAGAGAGAGAGAGAGCAUGUGGGACAGACAGACAAAGAGCAUACAUGGGCUGACUGUAUCUUAGGUUAUCUUCUUGGACACCCUGUCAUUGUUGUGGUUGCUGACUGUGUAGAGGGGUAAGCUGAGGUCAGAACCAUCUGGUCCCUGGCUGGGCUGUGCCUGGCAGCCUCACCUGGCCUGGGUCUCUGACCUAGCUCUUUCUAUUGUGCUUCAGUUUCCUGUCCUGGAAGGAUUGUUUUCAGGUAUCAGUAUGACAUUGAUAUCACUGGCUGACUGCAGUGACUGUCUCUUAGAGACCUGCCUAUUGCUUAUAUCCUUGUACUUUCUUUUAAAGAACAUUUUUAUAUUUGUGUGAUUGUGAACAUGCCACUACUGUGUGUGGUCAGAGGACAACUUCUCUCCUACCUUGUGAAUCCAGGGCUGGAGCCUGGGUCUUCAGGCUGGGCUCUUCCUGCUGAUCAUCCAUCUGGCUAUCUUUAUAUUGUAUGCAUUUUGGGGGAGAGGGUUAAGACAGGUUAAGAGGUUAAGACAAUCUGCUCCUAAACUUGCCAUUCUGCAUCCUCAGCUGCCUAAGGCUGACCACACCUGGCUUCUACACUGGUGUGUGCCUAGAUUGCAAAUGAGUCCUGACAAAGCUGAUAGGUGGCUGCUUGUUCGAACGCUGGCCUGAGGCCAAGGGUUUCAGGGGGGGUGACAUCUAGUCACUGUCCUUAGGCAGGGCCACAACUUGCCACUGGACAGGGUAGUGACUCCAUUGGCCCAGGGCAUGAUGGUUUCCACUCCCUCUGUAAUUUAGGCCAUUAGCCACUGUGUCUGAUGUGGGCUUAGAAGCAUCUGUGCUUGGUUUGCUGUUGGAGUGCAGGGCUCUGAACCAGAGCCUCCUUCAUGUAUCUUAGGCUAAUGCUUUCUUCUCCUUUCCAUCCCCAGUGAUCCCAGCAAGGUUCCGAUGGCACAACAGUUGGGGCCUCAGGCCCCUGCGCCUGCUCUAUGAGAGAGCUUUCACUCUCUGAUUACAGACAGCGUUGCCUCUUACUGACUGAAAGCAGUGACAGACACCAGAAACCCUGGUGGCACAUCAGGGUUCCCACACCUAGCACUGCUUGCCCUGUGGGCUGUCCUGAGGCCUUUGUACCUGCAGUAUCCUGACUGGAAUAGCCAUCUCCUUCUCUCUCUUCAGCUGCUUUGCCUGCCUCAGCUGAGCUGUCUCCUCCUCAGAGAGGCCUUUUCUCACAAACAGCUGGCUGGUGUGAUGGACUCUUUUCUCUUUGCUACAUGUCUGUUUAUGAUUUAUGUAUUAUUUCAAACUCUCUGUCUCAUUUAAAACAAAACAAAAACAUAUUUUGAGUGAGGCUGUCAUGGUGCCCAGGCUGAAACUCCUUAAGUAGAGGAUGACGACCUUGCAGUAUGAUCUCCCUCCCCAUCCCUCCCAGAGUGGGGAUGAUGGGUGUGAACCACCAAGACUGCUCUACCAACUGAGCUAUAGUUCUGGCCUUAAGAAAUUUAUUGGGGGGGGGGGUAGAGAGAUGGCUCAGCAACCGCUCUUCCAGAGAACCUGGGUUUAAUUCCCAGCACCCACAUGUCAGCUUACAACUGUCUGUAACUCCAUCUGACACCCUCACACAGACAUACAUGUAGGCAAAACACCAAUGCACAUUAAAUAAAAAUAAGU
rnacentral:lncRNA from 1 species